GACGAACCAUGCAAACGUUAUUCGGAAUCACUGGGCUUAAAGCGUGCGUAGGCGGCGCAGAAAGUUGGGUGUGAAAUCCCUCGGCUCAACCGAGGAACGUCGAUCGAUACUGCUGUUCUUGAGGAUUGCAGAGGAGACUGGAAUUCCCGGUGUAGCGGUGAAAUGUGUAGAGAUCGGGAGGAACACCGGUGGCGAAGGCGGGUCGCUGGGCAAUUCCUGACGCUGAGGCGCGAAAGCGUGGGGAGCAAACGGG
rnacentral:rRNA from 1 species